CUUUGUUAACUGCCUCGUUUUGCUUCACUGCGAACCAAGUGUAUGUAGAAAAUUUGAGAUUCGUUCAGUUUAGUGAUAUGAAUUGGCCAACGUCACAGUCCAUUUGAAACACAUCAAAUAUAAUAGUGUGUACGACAACAAAAGAACCAGAUUCCAUGCAUCACAAAGGUUUCCCAAUCGCAAGAGUUCGAGUUAAACAAGCAAAUAUACACAGCUGGACGUUAAGACGAUGAUUCAUCCUGUCGGAUCGUAUUGCCAACAUCCGUCAUUCACAGGCUGCCGUAGGAGGACAGCCACAUGUAGUCGAUAGCAUAACGACGUUUGUUUCAUGCGAAGACGAUAUUUUUCAACGAGAUACACAAGACGAAGAUUGACGGAUACACAACCGUCCAAAAAAUACAUCCAAAUUUAUAUCCCUUGCAUUAAAAAAAAUAAAAUAAAAUGCAAUGCUUGUAUACAUCACCAGGCGUCUCCAUCCUAUGGAACUGCCCACUCCAUCCAACAGAACUGCAAAUGCUGUUACAAUCCGACAAAGUAGUGGAUUCAACAAAAAACUAUAGCAAAAGCAAACGAAGAAACUUGUACUACUGUCGGGAGAAAGAGAAUGAUUUGCUUUUUGAUGCAAUCAAAACUUUAUUCGAACUUCUCGAGGAAUAUCCAAUAGUUGGCUCAUACUCUCAGUAAAAAAGAGGCUACAAAGCAGGAGUAAUGUUCGCACUGUCCAAUUCAUGAAUGUCUUAUCAAGCGGUAUUUGAUGGAACGGUGAAAAUUAUCAAGUAACGAACAACAAAAGAUUGUAUACAAA